ACGGAUGUAGCUUAAUGGUAAAGCCUCGGUCUCCAAAACCGAAGAUUAUAAGUUCGAAUCUUAUCAUCCGUG
rnacentral:tRNA from 1 species